CCCUCUGGCCCCCACGCACCCUCCUACAAAGCCGAGGGUUAAGCUCGGGAAAAGAAGCCUUUAGGAAGAAGACUCCUCCCCGGAAAAGCCCGGCAGCUCCAAACUCCGAAACACGAGUGAAACUCAACUCCAGCUACCGCCCCUCCAGCUGCGGGUGGCCCCUCUUGCGGUCCGUCUGAGGCUAGGCGACUUAGCGCGUCGCCUGGCAAGACUCCAGUGGCCUUUUCUGGCCAGUUUGUGAUUGUAACUAGACGGACUCCAGCCGCCCCCUCCAGUGCUGGGGCGGGGGAGGAACGGCCAGGCCGAAGAGGCGGGAGAGAAGCCAGGGCCACCGUGGGGCCUGAUCUUUGCUCCACCUCUUAGGAGCUCACGACCAGGGUGGUGCCUUGCUUGGCACUGCCACUGGAUCCUCUGGCUUAUGAAGCCGUCCAGGACAUGAGGGAUGGGAAAGUCCUUAGUUCUCCUCCUGGAGUCAUACAGAGGGGUUUCCCCGAGGUCCCACGCCCGUCUCAGGAAGCCGGAAAUGCAAGAUGCUGGGGCGCUCGGCCCCAAGGGGCAGGGCGGAUACCCAGGCGAGGCCUAAAGGGCGGGACUCCACCGCCCCCUUCGGACAAUGCUGGGCUCCGCCAGCCAGAGGCGGCCAUGGCGCCAACCACACCUACCAGCAGGGGCCCCCGUGACCACUGAUGCGCCCUCCUAGCCCCAGGCUCCUGCGGGCUCCCCAGAGCACUGCAUUCCAAAGUGACUCCGAGACGCAGCAGACACAAUUCUGAGGCCCCCAGAUGCUUGCACAGGAAGCCAGACCACAGCACCCAGAAAUUUUCAUCACCCACCCUUCUCACCAUCAGGAACAGAAAAUGAUUGUGCUAGAGCCCUGCCUUUGUAAAAAUUGGCUACCUCCUGCAUCCUGCAUUUGAGGGAUUCUGGGAAUGGUCCACACCCCAGAAAAAUGGUGCAUCUUUAACUCAUCCCAGAGGAUGGUCAGCUGGUGGGGCAGCCCAUCAUUUUCAGGAAGAAACAGCCUGGGAAGAAAAACCACUCCACCUUUUUGAGAUCAGGGCCAAUGUAACAGGGGAGAUGAGGGAUAAACUUCACCAGAAGACUCCCCAGAAACCUCAGUGAGAAUACACAGUUCUGAUGAAUUCCCUCCAGAAGAAUAAUCCAAUGACCUCAGUGUUCCAACGGAGAUGAGGACCAACAGGAUGCUUGUGAAAAAAAUGACAAAUAGGCAGACCAAGCCAAAAUGCAAUUUAUUUAUUUUCUUCACUACUCCUAGUAAUUCGUUUUUAUUUGUAUCACUGGUGUGUGUGUGUGUUCAACUGACCCUACCACAGUGUUAAAUCAUACUCUUUUCUCUUAGUCUCAGUCCUUAAAAGGUAUGUUCAUAUAGCAAGUGCUCAAUACAUUUGGGGAUAUUUCUCCAACUUCACUUUCUAGAAUAGAUUGAAAUCUUCUUGACAGACACUUGUUUCCAGGCUACAUCAAAGGCUGCAACAAAUCAACAGAAAAAUAACAAAAGAAAACAGGCACAGUGGCUCACGCCUAUAAUCCCAGCACUUUGGUAGGCUGAGGCGGGUGGAUCCCCUGAGGUCAGGAGUUUGAGACCAGCCUGGGCAACAUGGUGAAACCCCGACUCUACUAAAAAUAUAAAAAUUUGCCAGGCAUGGUGGCAGGCACCUGUAAUCCCAGCUACUCAGGAGGCUGAGGCAGGAGAAUCACUUGAACUGGGGGGCAGAGGUUGCAGUGAGCCAAGAUCGUGCCACUGCACUUCAGCCUGGGCAAGAUAGUGAGACUGUCUCAAAAAAAGAAAAAAGAAAACCAGGCAGGUUGGGUGCAGUAGCUCAUGACUGUAAUCCCAGCAGUUUGUGAGGCUGAGGAGGGUGGCUUGCUUGAGUCCAGGAGUUCAAGUCCAGCUUGGGCAACAGAGUGAAACUCCGUCUCUACAAAAGUUACAAAAAAUUAGCCAGGUAUGGUGGGGCACACCUGUAGUCCCAGCUACUUGGGAGGCUUGAGGUGGGAGAAUCACCUGAGCCCAGGGAGGUUAAGGCUGCAGUGAGCUGUGAUCUCAUGCCACUGUCCUCCAGCUUGGGCGAUAGAGCAAGAGACCCUGUCUCAAAAAGAAAGCAAGAAAUAAAAGAAUAACAGGCAAAAGGCAAAAUAUAAUUGCAUAGAAAGGGAAAUAAAAAUAGCAAAGACAUUAAAAAAUGCUCAAUCUCACUAAUAGUUGGGAAAAAUGCAAAAAUGAGUCAUCAUACUGGCAAAAAAGUAUGAUAUUGUCAAGCACUGACAAGGAUAAAGGGAAAUACAGUCAUUGUUGCUUAACAACGGGGAAACAUCCUGAGAAAUACAUCGUUAGGUGAUUUCAUCAUUGUAUGAACAUCACAGAGUACAGCCUACUUAUAUGGUAUAGUUUAUAGGGUAGCAACUUGUACAGCAUGUUACUGUACUGAAUACUGUAGGCAACUGUAACACAGUGGUUGUCAGUCUAAACACAGAAAAGAUACAGUAAAAAUAUGGUGUAAAAGAUAAAAAUGGUAUACCUAUAUAGGGUACUUACCAUGAAUGGAGCUUAUAAGAUUGGAAGUUUCUCUGGGUGAGUCAGUGUGUGAGUGCUCAGUGAAUAUGAAGGCCUAGGAUAUUACUGUAGACAACUGUAGAUUUUACACUAUACACUUAAGCUACAUUAAAUUUAUUUAAACAUUUUUCUUCAAUAAAUUAACCUUAGUUCACUGUAAUUAACUUUUUGACUCAGUAAUAACACUUAACUAAAAACACAAACACACUCUACAGCUGUAUAAAAUAUUUUCUUAUAUUCUCAUUCUGUAAGCUUUUUCCUAAUAAAAUUUUUAAAAAUUGGCUGGGCAUGGUGACUCAUGCCUGUAAUCCCAACACUUUGGGAGGCUGAGGUAGGCAGAUUGUGAGGCCAGGAGUUUUGAGAUCAGCCUGACCAAUAUGAUGAAACCCCAUCUGUACUAAAAAAACACACACACACACACAAAUUAGCUGGGCUUGGUGGCACAGUGCCUGUAAUCCCAGCUACUCGGGAGGCUGAGGCAGAAGAAUUGCUUGAACCCAGGAGGUGGAGGUUGCAGCGAGCCAAGAUCACGCCACUGCACUCCAGCCUGGGCAAUAGAAUGAGACUCUGUCUCAAAAUAAAAUAAAAUAAUUUAAAAAUUUA